rnacentral:miRNA from 1 species
UGACAGAAGAGAGAGAGCACGAUCCGGUGCUGCAUCUACGGGAGAUAUUAGUGAUCCCUUGGAACCUUCAAAAUACAAGAGAAUGAUUAUAACUAAUUCCACUUGUAGCAUAACUUUAACGUAAUGGACACUAAUUUUUUAAUGGUACGCAAUUGAUAUACGGUUCAAAUUGAACUAAUAUCCUCAGAACCGUUGGUGUAAUCUAAAUGAAUACUCUUAUCCCAAGGUGGUUUAUCAAUGGUAAUAUUCAGUCAU